GAUCCAAGUUUUCUCUCUCUAGGAAUUUGAUUUUUUUUUUCCCGACGAGUAGAGAGUUAUCAAGAAGAAAAAACUCUUCAAGAAAGGAUGAAUCUUUCCGAGAAUUUCGGUCUUUUGCUCUGGGCAUUUGGAAAUGGCGCGGAUUCCGUUGUCAGCGAGUUCAUCUGACACUAUCCCGUCGCUUUACGUUGGCGAUCUCGACACGAGUGUGACGGAGGCGCAACUCUUCGACUUCUUCGGCCAAGUCGGCUCGGUCGUGUCGGUUAGGGUUUGCAGGGGGAGAGGGUCGCUUGGUUAUGCCUUUGUCAGCUUCGGAAAUCCUCAAGAUGAUUCGUUUUUUCAUCGACUCAGCAAUUGGGUUCUCUAUUUCUGCUUUGAUUUGUUGUUUCUGAAGCCGCCAAUGUGAAGUUUUGGUUGAUUGAAUGGUUCUGGAGAUGGAAAGGGUCUCUGGGCAUUAUGGGAGAUGGAAAAGUUCUGAACUUUGAUGCAUCUGAUGGCGAAUUCUUGGUCGUUUUGACAAUUUCUUGGUUUUCUUGGUAUUGUCUUCUCAUUUCAUUGUUACUUUAAUGCAGCUGCUAAGGCGGUUGAUGUUGUGAAUUUCACUCCGUUGAACAAUAAGCCGAUCAGGUUCAUGUACUCUCAUCAAGAUUACAAUCUUCUUCAGAGUGGUGCUGGAAAUCUCUUCGUCAAGGUCCAUUGAGAGCAAAGAAUUGUAUGAUAUGUUUUCUUCAUUUGGAAACAUUCUUUCCUGCAAGAUCGCUGCUGACUCAUCCGGGGAGUUUAAAGGCUACGGUUUUGUGCAAUUUGACGACGACGAGUCGGCUCAAACUGCUAUUGAUAAGGCGAAUGGGAUGCUCAUAAAUGGCAAAGCAAGUCUUUGUUGGUCGGUUCAUUCGUGGGAGUGACAGAGAAAAUACCCUAGAAGGAGAAAAAAUCUAUAAUGUUUUUGUGAAGAACCUCUCCUGGUCGACAACUGAACAAGAUUUGAAGAACGUUUUCGGUGACUUCGGACCCAUUACAAGUAUUGUAGUGAUGAAGGAUGGAGAUGGAAAGUCAAAAUGUUUUGGAUUUGUGAACUUUGCAAAUGCCGAUGAUGCCAUUCGUGCUGUCGAGGCGCGUUGAGGGCCGUAGUGGCCGAGGCUCUCGAGAUGCCCCGUUUCCGACCACCUCGAUGAUGAACCUCUUCACAUCAAUGUUUUUUCAUUGGAACAUGUGAAUAGAAAAUGUAAACAAACAAGUAACAAGUGCAAAGCCUUGUUUCAUAUUCUACAGAGAGAUGGGCAGUUGGGUUAUGUCCUUCAUCA